rnacentral:piRNA from 1 species
UGGCCAGAACUGAUGGAACUGCCACAC